rnacentral:lncRNA from 1 species
UUAUCUUAUUAAUCAUUCUAUCACUUUAUUACUUGUAUUUUAAUAGAGUAAUAGAGGAGAAUGAUAUCUUGUUAAUCAUUUUAUUACUUGUUCACUAUACCGUGUACUUGUGAGAUUUUGUAUGAUCAGCUUCCAAUAGUCCUCAGAUCCUAUUGCCACUCGAGAUGACACCCCCUUCGCCUCGGAGUUGGGCGCUGUACAAGUAGGAGCAGAUUGAUGGCCAAAUCUAGCAGUUGAUACGACAUUACGACCUCACCAAAUCUAGCAGUUGAUACGACAUUACGACCACUCUAUUUCCCUCCACGUUUCAUGAUAUUUAUGUCCUUGAAAUCAGCCACACAAAAAAAUCCACUCAUGAGUAUCUCAUUGCACCCCUGAUCAAUAAACUUCCAGUAGCUUGUCUAUUUCCAUACUCUUUGUCGACACAGCAUGUAUGACUUCCAGUGUGUAGGAGAUAACCACUCUCCCAUGAGAUAAAUGAGGUAUGAAAAGGUUUCCUUAGCAGACUCAUGGAGCUGCAGCUUGGAUUAUUGUAGAAUAAGAGGGGCCGCCUUAGCUUAAAAAAUUAUCCUCAAUUAGCCAACAUCUUGUACAGAACUCACACACCUUAAUUUUUCUCCUACGAAGAUUUGUCGUUUGUAAUUAUU